UACGAAGGGUGCAAGCGUUAAUCGGAAUUACUGGGCGUAAAGCGUGCGCAGGCGGUUUUGUAAGUCUGACGUGAAAGCCCCGGGCUUAACCUGGGAAUUGCGUUGGAGACUGCAAGGCUUGAAUCUGGCAGAGGGGGGUAGAAUUCCACGUGUAGCAGUGAAAUGCGUAGAGAUGUGGAGGAACACCGAUGGCGAAGGCGGCCUUCUGGACCAAUACUGACGCUCAUGCACGAAAGCGUGGGGAGCAAACAGG
rnacentral:rRNA from 1 species